AGCGAUUCUUUGAUAACUGGAACGUGGAUGAAGUUUUGAGCCCAUUCAUGAAGGGAUGGGAACCUUUCUCUGUCAAACACAUUCAUUUCUCCCACUUCAUCCAGAACACUGAGCCAGUGGCAAAUCCAACCUGCAGCUAAAUCUAGGACUCGGAAGCAGCAAAAAUGCAUGAAAAAUGAAGUUAAUAGCAAAAGAACUAUGGUUACCUUCUCGUCUAAAAACUUAGCCCAGAAGCGAGCAUUGGCUCUGUCAUAUGGAUCUUCAGGCAAUAUCGGGUUCUCCUUCCACGUCUCGUCGAUGUAUUCAAUAAUGAGAAGCGACUCGGAGAUGGCUUUGUCAUUGUGCAAAAGCACAGGUAUUUUCUUGUAUACAGGGUUGGACUUGAGAAGUAGCUCACUUUUGUUUCUCAAGUCUUCAACUAUGUACUCAUACUCAAUUCCUUUGAGCUUCAAGGCCCAUUCGACCCUUACGGAGAAUAGGCUUGCAGCUGAUCCAAUAAUCUUUACCUCUGCCAUUGUUUGUGAUAUUUGAUAUCUCCUCUAGCUCAAGUUUCUUGCCUUUUAUAGUCUGUGACUCUGUGUUGCUUAUGCUAUUAUUAUUUUGGCUAAUUUUGACCUUUCAAA